rnacentral:misc_RNA from 1 species
AAGUAUCAAAUAUUUUUGACGAAUCCUCGUUAAUAGGACUACCAAAUUUGCACAUCUGGGAACACUGUAAAUUUUCUUCUUUCCGGUGAUCCUCCCGUCGGAGAAGAUGAUCGUUUGCGUUGCCGUCGUCGGUCACCAGAACAAUCCACUUUACAUACAGAGUUUUACUGAAGCAGAUGAUGCCCUAAAGCUUCAUCACAUUGUCCAUUGCUCCCUUGAUGUUGUCGACGAGAGAGUGAACAAUCCAAAAAAAUCUAGCCCCACUCUGAACGAGACAUUUCUUGGCCUGCUAUAUCCAACUGAAAACUACAAAGUGUAUGGUUAUUUGACUAAUACAAAAGUGAAACUUAUAUUGGUAACAACAGAUCUUGAUGUUAGAGAUGCCGAUGUGAGAAAUUUUUUCAGGAAAUUUCAUGCUGCAUAUGUUGAUGCUGUGUCAAAUCCAUUUCAUGUUCCUGGCAAGAAGAUAACAUCCAGAACUUUUGCUGAAAGGGUUAGCACUAUCGUCAAGUCUUUUGGUUUGAGUUCAGGUAGUUGAAUGACUGCUCUUGAAGUCAUUUUGCAAGCCACUCCAGUGACUUCUCUCCCAAGCUGAUGAACAAAGGAAGGAUGAAGAGCUUAUUUUUGCAAACUAGCUUGAAG